rnacentral:rRNA from 1 species
UACGUAGGGUGCAAGCGUUAAUCGGAAUUACUGGGCGUAAAGCGUGCGCAGGCGGUUUUGUAAGUCUGUCGUGAAAGCCCCGGGCUCAACCUGGGAAUUGCGAUGGAGACUGCAAGGCUUGAAUCUGGCAGAGGGGGGUAGAAUUCCACGUGUAGCAGUGAAAUGCGUAGAGAUGUGAGGAACACCGAUGGCGAAGGCAGCCCCCUGGGUCAAGAUUGACGCUCAUGCACGAAAGCGUGGGGAGCAAACAGG